rnacentral:lncRNA from 1 species
UUUGGUUCUUGUGAAGGUUGACCUCGAUUCGUUCCAAAUUUACACUCUCGGGGCACAAUAGAACAAUAUAAUUAGCUUUUACUCUUUGUUCGAUUAAAUGAGAAAAAGUACUCGUUGCAAAGUUUUACUGUUAGGGCGCAACUGAGUAGUCUUUUUUUGUUCCGGUUUUGGUUCUUUUGAAGGUUGACAUCCAUUCGUUCCAUAUUUACACUCUCGCGAUAUAAUAGAACAAUAUAAUUAGCUAUUACUCUUUGUUCGAUUGAAUGAGAAAAAGUACUCGUUGCAAGUUAUCCUGUUAGGGCGCAACUGAGUAGUCUAUUUUUGUUCCAGUUUUGGUUCUUGUGAAGUUUGACAUCGAUUCGUUCCAAAUUUACACUCUCGGGGCAUAAUAGAACAAUAUAAUUUGCUUUUACUCUUUGUUCGAUUGAAUGAGAAAAAGUACUGGUCGCAAAGUUAUAUUGUUAGGGCGGAACUGAGUAGUCUUUUUUUGUUCCGGUUUUGGUUCUUGUGAAGGUUGACCUCGAUUCGUUCCAAAUUUACACUCUCCGGACACAAUAGAACAAUAUAAUUAGCUUUUACUCUCUGUUCGAUUAAAUGAGAAAUAGUACUCGUUGCAAUAUUAUACUGUUAGGGCGCAUCUGAGUAGUCUCCUUUUGUUCCGGUUUUGGUGUUUUUGAAGGUUGAUAUCCAUUCGUACCAUAUUUACACUCUCGCGGUAUAAUAGAACAAUAUAAUUAGAUUUUACUCUUUGUUCGAUUGAAUAAGAAAAAGUACUCGUUGCAAAGUUAUACUGUUAGGGCGCAACUGAGUAGUCUAUUUUUGUUCCAGUUUUGGUUCUUGUGAAUGUUGACAUCGAUUCGUUCCAAAUUUACACUCUCGGGACACAAUAGAACAAUAUAAUUAGCUUUAACUCUUUAUUGUAUUAAAUGAGAAAAAGUACUCGUUGCAAAGUUAUACUGUUGGGGUGCAACUGAGUAGUCUUUUUUUGUUCCGGUUUUGGUUCUUUUAAAGGUUGACAUCAAUUCGUUCCAUAUUUACACUCUCGGGGUAUAAUAGAACAAUAUAAUUAGCUUUUACUCUUUGUUCGAUUGAAUGAUAAAAAGUACUCGUUACAAAGUUAUACAGUUAGGGCGUAACUGAGUAGUCUACAUUUGUUCCGGUUUAGGUUCUUUUGAAAGUUGACAUCCAUUCGUACCAUAUUUACACUCUCGCGGUAUAUUAGAACAAUAUAAUUCGAUUUUACUCUUUGUUCGAUUGAAUAAAAAAAAGUACUCGUUCCAAAGUUAUACUGUUUGGGCGCAACUGAGUAGUCUAUUUUUUUUCCGGUUUUGGUUCUUGUGAAUGUUGACAUCGAUUAGUUCCAAAUUUACACUCUCGGGGCACAAUAGAACAAUAUAAUUAGAUUUAACUCUUUAUUGGAUUAAAUGAGAAAAAGUACUCGUUGCAAAGUUAUACUGUUAGGGCGCAACUGAGUAGUCUUUUUUUGUUCCGGUUUUUGUUCUUUUAAAGGUUGACAUCAAUUCGUUCCAUAUUUACACUCUCGGGGUAUAAUAGAACAAUAUAAUUCGCUUUUACUUUUUGUUCGAUUUAAUAAUAAAAAGUACUCGUUACAAAGUUAUACAGUUAGCGCGUAACUGAGUAGUCUACUUUUGUUCCGGUUUAGGUUCUUUCGAAGGUUGACAUCCAUUCGUUCCAUAUUUACACUCUCGCGGUAUAAUAGAAUAAUAUAAUUAGAUUUUACUCUUUGUUCGAUUGAAUGAGAAAAAGUACUCGUUGCAAAGUUAUAUUGUUAGGGCGGAACUGAGUAGUCUUUUUUUGUUCCGUUUUUUGUUCUUGUGAAGGUUGAUAUCGAUUCGUUCCAAAUUUACACUCUCAGGACACAAUAGAAAAAUAUAAUUAGCUUUUACACUUUGUUCGAUUGAAUGAGAAAAAGUACUCGUUGCAAAGUUAUACUGUUAGGACGCAACUGAGUAGUCUUUUUUGUUCCGGUUAUUGUUCUUUUAAAGGUUGACAUCAAUUCGUUGCAUAUUUACACUCUCGGGGUAUAAUAGAAUAAUAUAAUUAUCUUUUACUCUUUGUUCGAUUGAAUGAUAAAAAGUACUCGUUGCAAGUUAUACUGUUAGGGCGCAACUGAGUAGUCUAUUUUUGUUCCGGUUUUCGUUCUUGUGAAUGUUGAUAUCGAUUCGUUCCAAAUUUACACUCUCGGGGCACAAUAGAACAAUAUAAUUAGCUUUAACUCUUUAUUCGAUUAAAUGAGAAAAAGUACUCGUUGCAAAGUUAUACUGUUAGGGCGCAACUGAGUAGUCUUUUUUUGUUCCGGUUUUGGUUCUUUUAAAGUUUGACAUCAAUUCGUUCCAUAUUUACACUCUCGGUGUAUAAUAGAACAAUAUAAUUAGCUUUUACUGUUUGUUCGAUUGAAUGAUAAAAAUUACUCGUUACAAAGUUAUACAGUUAGGGCGUAACUGAGUAGUCUACUUUUGUUCCGGUUUUGGUGUGUUUGAAGGUUGACAUCCAUUCGUACCAUAUUUACACUCUCGCGGUAUAAUAGAACAAUAUAAUUAGAUUUUACUCUUUGUUCGAUUGAAUAAGAAAAAGUACUCGUUCCAAAGUUAUACUGUUUGGGCGCAACUGAGUAGUCUAUUUUUGUUCCGGUUUUGGUUCUUGUGAAUGUUGAGAUCGAUUCGUUCCAUAUUUACACUCUCUGGGCAUAAUAGAACAAUAUAAUUAGCUUUAACUCUUUAUUGGAUUAAAUGAGAAAAAGUACUCGUUGCAAUGUUAUACUGUUAGGGCGCAACUGAGUAGUCUUUUUUUGUUCCGAUUUUGGUUCUUUUAUAGGUUGACAUCAAUUCGUUCCAUAUUUACACUCGCGGGGUAUAAUUGAACAAUAUAAUUAGCUUUUACUCUUUGUUCGAUUCAAUGAUAAAAAGCACUCGUUACAAAGUUAUACAGUUAGGGCGUAACUGAGUAGUCUACAUUUGUUCCGGUUUAGGUUCUUUUGAAGGUUGACAUCCAUUCGUUCCAUAUUUAUACUCUCGCGGUAUAAUAGAACAAUAUAAUUAGCUUUUACUAUUUGUUCGAUUGAAUGAGAAAAAGUACUCGUCGCUAAGUUAUAUUGUUAGGGCGGAACUGAGUAGUCUUUUUUUGUUCCGUUUUGGUUCUUGUGAAGGUUGACAUCGAUUCGUUCCAAAUUUACACUCUCCAGACACAAUAGAACAAUAUAAUUAUCUUUUACUCUCUGUUCGAUUAAAUGACAAAUAGUACUCGUUGCAAAGUUAUACUGUUAGGGCGCAUCUGAGUAGUCUACUUUUGUUCCGAUUUUGGUGUUUUUGAAGGUUGACAUCCAUUCGUACCAUAUUUACACCCUCGCGGUAUAAUAGAACAAUAUAAUUAGAUUUUACUCUUUGUUCGAUUGAAUGAUAAAAAGUACUCGUUGCAAAGUUAUACUGUUAGGGCACAACUGAGUAGUCUACUUUUGUUCCGGUUUAGGUUCUUUUGAAGGUUGACAUCCAUUCGUUCCAUAUUUAUACUCUCGCGGUAUAAUAGAACAAUAUAAUUAGCUUUUACUAUUUGUUCGAUUGAAUGAGAAAAAGUACUCGUCGCUAAGUUAUAUUGUUAGGGCGGAACUGAGUAGUCUUUUUUUGUUCCGUUUUGGUUCUUGUGAAGGUUGACAUCGAUUCGUUCCAAAUUUACACUCUCCAGACACAAUAGAACAAUAUAAUUAUCUUUUACUCUCUGUUCGAUUAAAUGAGAAAUAGUACUCGUUGCAAAGUUAUACUGUUAGGGCGCAUCUGAGUAGUCUACUUUUGUUCCGGUUUUGGUGUUUUUGAAGGUUGACAUCCAUUCGUACCAUAUUUACACUCUCGCGGUAUAAUAGAACAAUAUAAUUAGAUUUUACUCUUUGUUCGAUUGAAUAAAAAAAAGUACUCGUUCCGAAGUUAUACUGUUUGGGCGCAACUGAGCAGUCUUUUUUGUUCCGGUUUUUGUUCUUUUAAAGGUUGACAUCAAUUCGUUCCAUAUUUACACCUCUGCGCAUAAUAGAACAAUAUAAUUAGCUUUUACUCUUUGUUCGAUUAAAUGAGAAAAAGUACUCGUUACAAAGUUAUACUGUUAGGACGCAACUGAGUAGUCUUUUUUGUUCCGAUUUUUAUUCUUUUAAAGGUUGACAUCAAUUCGUUCCAUAUUUACACUCUCGGGGUAUAAUAGAACAAUAUAAUUACCUUUUACUCUUUGUUCGAUUGAAUGAUAAAAAGUACUCGUUGCAAAGUUAUACUGUUAGGGCACAACUGAGUAGUCUACUUUUGUUCCGGUUUUGGUGUUUUUGAAGGUUGACAUCCAUUCGUACCAUAUUUACACUCUCGCGGUAUAAUAGAACAAUAUAAUUA